UAAGGGUGACUUGGAUCAGGCAUGUCUGC
rnacentral:piRNA from 1 species